rfam:Tupaia chinensis contig185734, whole genome shotgun sequence.
CUCAUUAAGGUGGGUGGAAUAGUAUAACAAUAGCACGUUGUUAUAAUAUCCCACCUACCCUGAUGUG